rnacentral:misc_RNA from 1 species
GUGAAUCAUCGAAUUUUUGAACGCAAAUUGCACUCUCUGGUAUUCCGGAGAGUAUGCCUGUUUGAGGGUCAGUUUAAAUAAAAAUCGGUGUGUUUGCUGCCUUUCUUGGUGACGCACCGGAUUUGGGUCGGCUUGCUUUCUGUUAAGUGACCUCAAAUAUUUCAUGAUCUUUUUCGCACGUAUUUAAAUGAUUUUACGUACGGUUGCGAUAUCGAAUACUAAGUUCGGUCAUCCUCAUGAUCCGGGCCUUGAA